rnacentral:rRNA from 1 species
AUUCCCGGUGUAGCGGUGAAAUGCGUAGAUAUCGGGAAGAACACCAGUGGCGAAGGCGCUCUGCUGGGCCAUCACUGACGCUCAUGGACGAAAGCCAGGGGAGCGAAAGGGAUUAGAUACCCCUGUAGUCCUGGCCGUAAACGAUGAACACUAGGUGUCGGGGGAAUCGACCCCUCCGGUGUCGUAGCCAACGCGUUAAGUGUUCCGCCUGGGGAGUACGCACGCAAGUGUGAAACUCAAAGGAAUUGACGGGGGCCCGCACAAGCGGUGGAGUAUGUGGUUUAAUUCGAUGCAACGCGAAGAACCUUACCAGGGUUUGACAUCCUGCGAAUCUCUUGGAAACUUGAGAGUGCCUUCGGGAGCGCAGUGACAGGUGGUGCAUGGCUGUCGUCAGCUCGUGUCGUGAGAUGUUGGGUUAAGUCCCGCAACGAGCGCAACCCACGUCUUUAGUUGCCAGCAUUUAGUUGGGCACUCUAGAGAGACCGCCGGUGAUAAACCGGAGGAAGGUGUGGAUGACGUCAAGUCAUCAUGCCCCUUACAUCCUGGGCUACACACGUACUACAAUGCUACGGACAAAGGGCAGCAAGUUCGCGAGGACAAGCAAAUCCCAUAAACCGUGGCUCAGUUCAGAUCGUAGGCUGCAACUCGCCUACGUGAAGGAGGAAUCGCUAGUAAUCGCAGGUCAGCAUACUGCGGUGAAUACGUUCCCGCGUCUUGUACACACCGCCCG